ensembl:lncRNA
CUCCUUCUCUAUUCUCCAUUGUAAGCAAGAACAUCGGUAGCCCAGGUGGGCUCUGAAUAGCUUCAGAAAGUAGACCAGAGAGUUACUUAAGAAGCUGAUGUUCCUCUGCCUCCAGAAGUUGGAGAUUUGUAAAAGACCUUCGAAAGCAGAGAAGCCAUAGGCGUGGGAAUGGACAACACACCAUUAUUAUGGAAUAUGACAGUAAGUAUAUAAGUCAAAGAGCUGCAAAGAACCUUAAUUCAAAUAAGAAGCACUUUACAGUAUCUAAAUAAUGUAAGGAAAGACGCAUUUCAGUUAUUGCUGUCAUUUCUUUUUCCUGUCCCACCUCCCUGUGCUUUCCAUCUCCUGAUAACUGUGUGUGUCAGCAUGAAAAAUGACUGUAACGUCCUUGGGUAAGGAAGUAGUUUCAUUACUUGUUUAUACAUUGCCCUCCACGGUGGGUAUGGAUUCUGAGCCCCUCAUACACUGUUGUCUUGUAAGCAACGAAGGUGAUGUGUGCUCAUGGUGUGCUGUGCUAGAACAAACAGGAACAGGAGAGAAAUUCAAUGCUUGUAUUUAUUUUACGUUUGUUUUGUAGCUCUGCUUCGGGUUUGCAGGCCAGAGGGGAAAGCAAUUAUAUGGGCAGAUCUAUAGAUGGCAUAAAUUGGUGGUACCUCCACUUGCUCAGGUUUUUGAUAGCUGGGGAUCUGGCCCACAUCUUAUCAAGUUUUCAGCUUGUAAACUGGGCAAGGUGGUAUUAUUACCUACAGACAGUUGCUGGCUCAUGUUGGCUAUUUGUUCCCCACUUCCCCUCUCUCAUUUCACUGUUCCUCAAGUGCUAUGGAAGGUUGGCAAUUAUAAAAUAGACAAAAGGUAUGCAGUCAACUCCAUUCUACACACUAUACUGCGUGUAGAAACCUACUUCAUAAACUGCUAUUUGAUAGGAAGUGCUUUAUCCCAGGACCUAAAUGUGGGAUGGUGUCUGUGGCUAAGAACAACUCUUUCCUGAAGUGUGAAAGGUAAUUACUUACUUCCUCCGGUCUGUUUUGUGGUCAGCACGUUGUAGUUGAAGUCUGCUGGGUAGUUGUUUUUUUUUUUUUUUUUUUUCUCUCACCUCAACGCUGAAGAAAGGGCAGAUUUGUUUCAUCUCAAUAAGAGGAAAUUGUUCUGACAUUGUGUAAACUGCAGCAAAAGAUGUGAUCUUGUUGGACCACAAUGUGUUUUUCCAGGGAAGAGAAAUCCCCAUUUCAGACCAGCAUCACAUUAAAGCUUUGAUCCAGGUUUAGUAUGGUAGCUUUGAAGCUCCCACUAAUUUUAAUGGUGUCAGGAUUACAUGUUCUCAUCACAGAGACUGACUUACCAACUUUUAUUCAAAACUGAGUAUUGACAGCUGUAUGGGAUUUAGUUUGAGACUAUGGACAAGAAUGAAGUGGGAUGAGUUUUCCCCAAGCAGGCAUGCUGUAGAACUCACCCAAUAGGAAAAUAGCAUUCUGCAUCCACCUACUGUCACAGGAGAAGGAGCUGGCAAUGGCC